UUUAACGAUGAAGAGUUUGAUCCUGGCUCAGGAUGAACGCUAGCGGCAGGCUUAACACAUGCAAGUCGAGGGGUAGCAGGGAGCUUGCUCCGCUGACGACCGGCGAACGGGUGCGUAACGCGUAUAGAAUCUACCUCUUACUAAGGGAUAGCCCAGAGAAAUUUGGAUUAA
rnacentral:rRNA from 1 species